GAAAAGGUAAAAGACUCUAGGUGA
rnacentral:siRNA from 1 species